rnacentral:pre_miRNA from 1 species
AACACGAUAACUGGGUCAAAUGGUGGUUCCAUUCCAAGUUUUCUGAGGAAUCUCCAUACUGCUUUCCAGAGUGGUUGCACCAAUUUGCAAUCCCACCAGCAAC